CCCAGAUACGGUGACAUGGUGCCGAAGACAAUAGCUGGCAAGAUUUUUGGUUCAAUAUGCUCCCUGAGUGGGGUCUUAGUCAUUGCUCUGCCAGUUCCUGUGAUUGUCUCCAAC
rfam:Caprimulgus carolinensis contig107087, whole genome shotgun sequence.